CCUACGGGUGGCAGCAGUGAGGACUAUUGGUCAAUGGGCGAAAGCCUGAACCAGCCAAGUAGCGUGAAGGAUGACUGCCCUACGGGUUGUAAACUUCUUUUAUAUAUGAAUAAAGUGAGGCACGUGUGCCAUUUUGUAUGUACUUUAUGAAUAAGGAUCGGCUAACUCCGUGCCAGCAGCCGCGUUCAUACGGAUGAUCCGAGCGUUCUCCGGAUUUAUUGGGUUUAAAGGUCGCGUAGCUGGGUUGGUAAGUCCGUUGUGAAAGUUUGCGGCUCAACCGUAAGAUUGCAAUUGAGACUGGCAGCCGUGAGUACAGUAGAGGUAGGCGGAAUUCGUGGUGUAGCGGUGAAAUGCGUAGAUAUCACGAAGAACUCCGAUUGCGAAGGCAGCUUACUAGACUGCAACUGACACGGAGGCUCGAAAGUGUGGGUAUCAAACAGGAUUAGAUACCCGGGUAGUC
rnacentral:rRNA from 1 species